UACAGAGGGUGCAAGCGUUGUUCGGAUUCAUUGGGCGUAAAGGGUGCGUAGGCGGCGCGGUAAGUCGGGUGUGAAAUCUUGGAGCUUAACUCCGAAACUGCAUUCGAUACUGCCGUGCUUGAGGACUGGAGAGGAGACUGGAAUUUACGGUGUAGCGGUGAAAUGCGUAGAUAUCGUAAGGAAGACCAGUGGCGAAGGCGGGUCUCUGGACAGUUCCUGACGCUGAGGCACGAAGGCCAGGGGAGCAAACGGG
rnacentral:rRNA from 1 species